GGUUGGGGGAUCUGAACCCUAACCGGCCAGCCCUCUGUGUUAUCUUUUAAUUCCGUUUUCCACAAACUCUUUGAAGUACCCUCGUAUGUUACAUAGGAGCUGGCAAAGCCUUGAUCACAAAGGGAUCUCUCUUAAGCUUUUCCUGAAUCAGAGAUUGGCUCCCACAUGU